AUGUUCAGGGGAAAUCCUCAGAGUCAACCACACCACGGAUAAAGUUGAGACACUCUGGUAUCAACUCAACACAGCUGUCCCUGAUGAACACACGAUGGACAUAGAGUUUGAUGUUGUUCUUUUUCUUCUUGUUCUCAAAAAGAUGAAAGGGAGCCUAAGGAGGAAUGAAUAGCAAUGCCCUGAAUUCCAACUGACCUUCUACAGAAAAGUACCUGACUGCCAAGUGGUCUUUCCAGUCAUUGGUGACCAUCACUAAUUUCUUUCUCUAUGAUGUCAAUUUUCAGCUCUUCAGCUACUCAGUAGGCCGAGGUUGGGAGGAUCUCUUAAGCCCAGGAGGUUGAGGCUGCAGUGAGCUAUGAACAUGCCACUAUCCUGCAGCCUGGGCAACAGAGCAAGAUCCUGUCUCAAAAAAAAAAUUAAGGUCAAGAGGAAAAGUUACCAAAUUUCUCUGAGCCUUAACUUUCCUAUCUGUAAGAUGGUUAUAAUAAUGCCUGUUCUUCCUACUACAUGUGGGAUAAGUGACAAUAAAAUGUUAUUGUGAAAGUGCUUUAGAAUAUAUAAAUAUAUGGGGGGAGAGAGAAGAGACAUCCACACACACACAAGCACAUUUAAAAAGACUUUAUGCAAAAGUACGGCUUUGUUAAUGAUUUGAUUUUGAUUUGUUAAUUUUGAUUUUGAUUUGUUGAUUUGUUAAUGAUUUGAUUUUGAUUUGUUAAUUAAUUAACCACAGAUUUAUUGAGCACCUGUCAGUUACUAUUUCAGUGCUGGCCAUAAGUGGAGAACAAGAGAGACAUGGUGGCUGCCUUCCUGAGCUGAUAAUCUGAACGAGGUGGAGCUGGAUGGCAGAGGGAGAGACAAAGAGGACAAAUAUACAACAGAUAAACAAGAGAACGUUGGAAAGUGCUGAAUGCACUGAAGAAGUUAAGUAGGGUGUUAAUGAGACUAUGCAGAAUUGAUAUGGAAUUGCACGUAUAUGUAUGGCUGGGCUAAGAUUUGCAAGGGCAGAGGGGAGAUUUAGGGCCAAAUCAAGCAGGCCUUGUAUACUCUGCCAUGACCAGGAUUGGGCUUUAUUCUGGAGAUAAUGUGAAUCUAUGGAAGGACUUACAUAAGAAAAGAUGAAGUCAGUUUUAUGUUUCAAAAUGAUCAAUGUGUCUGGGGUGGUCCUGCUAAUGUAGUCCAGGGGCCUCCCAAAGUGCUCUGGGAUUACAGGUGUGAGCCACUGUGCCCGGCCUGUUAAAUCGUUUUUCUAAGGUAACAUAGCUGAUGAGGUACAGCCAGUAUGACUCCAGAGAGCACACUCGUAACUAGUGCACAAAAAUGUCUUGGUUUGUUUGAACAUUGAUUGAAAAACACAACAUCAGGGCAUCUGUGGGGUAUACUUCCUGGAAUGUGUUUCAAGGGAGCCCUGGAAACAGCGAAUGUUCAUAAGGCAGAGAAAUGCCUGGCUGUGUGGGGUAGUUAGAAGCAUCCAGGGUCUAGCACAUGAAUAUUUGAAGGUUAUGCUAGGGAAGGGCUGAGGCUAUUACACAGUUAACUACAUAAAGACCAGUUACUACUGAUUCCGCUAUUGAUCCUUAAGUCAACAAAAUGUGUGUGUAUAUACGUAUGUGUGUAUAUCUUUAAGUCAACUAAAUGUGUGUGUGUUUGUGUGUGUGUGUGUCUGUGGGGUGUGAAAUCGUGUCAAAAAAGAAUGGGAGGCAAUGGUAGGAGAGCUACAAGCUGAUUGUUCAGCAGUAGCCACUUUUCUUCCCUUCCCAUCAUGAAUAGAAUAUACCACAUGCCCAUCAAUGAUAGACUGGAUAAAGAAAAUGUGGCAUAUAUACACUGUGGAAUACUAUACAGCGAUAAAAAAGGAUGAGUUCAUGUCCUUUGCAGGGACAUGGAUGAAGCUGGAAACUAUCAUUCUCAGC
rnacentral:lncRNA from 10 species